rnacentral:misc_RNA from 1 species
GAAAUGCGAUAAGUAAUGUGAAUUGCAGAAUUCAGUGAAUCAUCGAAUCUUUGAACGCACCUUGCGCUCCUUGGUAUUCCUUGGAGCAUGCCUGUUUGAGUAUAGAAAUCUUCAAAGUAAAUCUUUUGUUAACUCAAUUGGUUUCUACUUUGGUAUUGGAGGUCUUUGCAGCUUCACACCUGCUCCUCUUUGUUCAUUAGCUGGAUCUCAGUGUUAUGCUUGGUUCCACUCGGCGUGAUAAGUUAUCUAUCGCUGAGGACACUGUAAAAGGUGGCCAAGGUAAAUGCAGAUGAACCGCUUCUAAUAGUCCAUUGACUUGGACAAUACUUUUAUGAUCUGAUCUCAAAUCAGGUAGGACUACCCGCUGAACUUAAGC